rnacentral:rRNA from 1 species
UAGGGAAUCUUCGGCAAUGGACGAAAGUCUGACCGAGCAACGCCGCGUGAGUGAAGAAGGUUUUCGGAUCGUAAAACUCUGUUGUUAGAGAAGAACAAGGACGUUAGUAACUGAACGUCCCCUGACGGUAUCUAACCAGAAAGCCACGGCUAACUACGUGCCAGCAGCCGCGGUAAUACGUAGGUGGCAAGCGUUGUCCGGAUUUAUUGGGCGUAAAGCGAGCGCAGGCGGUUUCUUAAGUCUGAUGUGAAAGCCCCCGCCUCAACCGGGGAGGGUCAUUGGAAACUGGGAGACUUGAGUGCAGAAGAGGAGAGUGGAAUUCCAUGUGUAGCGGUGAAAUGCGUAGAUAUAUGGAGGAACACCAGUGGCGAAGGCGGCUCUCUGGUCUGUAACUGACGCUGAGGCUCGAAAGCGUGGGGAGCAAACAGG